ensembl:snoRNA Gm25862 predicted gene, 25862
UUGUCUUUUGAGAUAGGGUUCCUUCUUCCUGGGGAUCUGGUGAUGCCAAGAACAAAAUCCUUGGCAGUGUAAGCAAUCUGUUGUACGUCUCAGUUCCUCUUAGAGGCCUUCAAAAUAGUU